rnacentral:lncRNA from 1 species
CUCUGUAUGGCACUUCUAAUGAGUUACUAAUCAAUGUUUUUGUUGCAACUUCACACUUUUCAUGAGUCUGAUGGUCAGGAUAUUUAGGUGGAGGUAGUAGCUUUCUAAUGGUGGCCCUCAUGUCCAGCUCAAAUACUAGACAACAUGGACCUGUUGGGAGAAGCACGUACACCUUAGUUUUAGUGAGCAGGUAAAUUAGUAAUCCACAUUGUUUCUUCUAUGAUGUUGCUUUGAUCCUGUUUAUAUGAUUCAGAACACUUGUAAAUACUUCUCUCCAUUUUGCAACGAUACACCUGUUAAUGUACUGAUUGUGUAUGCUCUUACUAUUCUACAGAAUUUGGAUUAUAUCUUGUCAUUGUUGUUGGGAUCUAUUGGAUUCUUGUGGUUGUUACUAGGUAGGAAGCUCUUCUUACUUCAACAGAAUCAGGGACCCCUUCUUUCAGAUUCAGUUAAUCAUCUUGUUUGUCAUUCAUUAAGUAGAGGCUCACUGUCUGUGUGUGUGCAGGUUUCCAAAGAAACAAAUACUCAACGCCAUUUGGUGGUUUUCAGUGUGCCAAUCUCUACAUUCAUAGUACAUCAUUGAGUUUUACCUUCAACUAAGAAUGUUUCCGUGUGGUGAUUAUUUGUUCAUUCCUUUGUUGCUUAGAUUAGCUCUAACCAUUUUGCAGCCUUUUUCUGCUCUUAUUCAACUACUUAUUUAUGUACUCCUAUCUUGCAAAUGGUUUACUUAUUAUUGUGUGUAAUUUAAUGUGAGGUGCCGCACUCAUUUUCUCCGGCACUAUCAAGAUGGAGGCCAACAUAUCAUGGAUGGCUGGAGCUAUGAUUAAAUUUUUCCAAGAUACAGCAGUGUUCCUAGUCAUUAUUCUGGUAACUGUCUUCGAUUUCCAUGUGUUAACUGUUUGUGAAGGCGGUAACGAUAGUAAUGUUCUUCUUAGUGAUGCUCUUGACCUUUUGAUUCGUACAUUGCUAAACUGAUCACUGAGCUCUGACCACUUUGAUUCACAGAUUGCUGAAUUACCCACAUGCACUCUUGUUGUCACGGUUCGUAAAUUACCGAAUUUCCCAUUAGGCCACAACCACAUAUGUUGUAUUGAUUUGUCCUACCAAUGUUACAUGUGGUAAAGUUUUCGAAACUAAAAGUUCCUGACUACUGUGUGAAAUUAUCAACAUUUGGUUUGCUCCUGUCUCUUGGAAUGAGAAGUUUUAGCGCUGUGUAUGGAAGAAAAAGUGUUGCGCUCGCUCGGACCUUUGACAAUACCAUAAGUAUUUCUUAAGCACAUUUUUUCUCUUCCUGAGAGUGUGGUGCUUAAGACAUGAUCUAUACAUGUCAAAAUGAUGCUUUACUUUUCUCUGGCUCUGUUUAUGUCUAUUUUGUGACCUGAAGUAGUAUAUUGAGUUGUAAGGGAAUACUUUCAGGUCAAAACUUUUCUUUGUAAUAGUCGUAAUCUAGCUGGGCAACCAAUGUUUCUGAAGUAAUGCCCCUUUGUAAGAAGUAAUGUUUCUUAUUUGCUGGGUAACCCAUCACUACUUGCAUCAUGCCAAUGUAUUGUGUGUUAACAAUUCAUUUUGUUAUUUUGUUGUAGAUUCAGAAGAUAUAUGGAUGAUUAUAUGGCUACGUGGCAAGUAUACUGCAAUGAUGAUGAUGUACUGGAUCACCAUGAUGAUGAUGGACGCUUUCAGUUUUAGUUAAGUUGUAGCGAUAUUGUUCUUGUUGGAUGAUGUUCGUCGGUUAAGUUUUAAUUAAGUUGUAGGGAUAUUGAUGGAUGCUUGCAGUGAAGUCAAGAAAAUAUUUAGAUUAUGCAUCACAUUUGGAUGAUGCUCCUCCUGUAAUAUCAACUAUUGUAAUCCAACAGUUUUUUUUCAAUAUAUGAACUAUUAUUCCG